rnacentral:rRNA from 1 species
AUGGUGGAAGAUGUGUGUACCAAAGACCAAGGAGGAAUGGGUUUUCGAGACAUACAUUGUUUCAAUCUGGCCUUAUUAGCCAAACAAGCGUGGCGCCUGCUUGAUAACCCUGAUUCACUAUGUGCUUCAAUUUUGAGAGCUAAAUAUUUUCCAGAUGGAGAUUUAAUGAAUGCGAGUCUGAAAAAAGGAUCCUCUUUCACGUGGCAAAGCAUUAUGGCCGGAGUGGAUUCUCUCAAAAAAGGUUAUAUUUGGAGAGUUGGUAAUGGACAGAAUAUUGAUAUCUGGAGAGAUGCAUGGAUCCCGAAUGGGGCGAAUAGGAAAAUUAUCACUCCUAGAAGAGGGCAGCUUCUAACAAAAGUUACUGAUCUUAUAGAUCCAAUCAACAAUUGCUGGGAUGAAGAUUUGGUAAGACAAACGUUGUGGCCAAUUGAUGUCCAGAGAGUGCUUACGAUCCCCCUCCCCACGUAUGACAUGUCGGAUUUCAUAGCUUGGAGCUUUACAAAGAAUGGA